rnacentral:lncRNA from 1 species
UUUAAUUUACUGAAACAAGCUUAAUUUAAUCAGGGUUGCUUUGGGGUUUUUUUUCCCCUAGGUAUCAGGAACUGAUGUAUUCCGUUUAUGGUGGAACUGACAGUAAAAUGCAUCAGUGAUGGAAGGGGUUCCAAAAUAUGUUGAAAGUCUCACACAUGCAAAAUCGUGAAUGAAGAAGAAAAAGAGUGG